AGUCAGUGCGCAUGCGCGUAGCUCGGCUUAAAGGAGCCGCGCUGGGAACACUGCGGUCGGGGCGAGGAAGCUGCCGGGGAAGUGAGAUGACGGUCGCGGGGGUGCCCAGGAGCCCUGAAAAACUUGUGCCCUGGGCACGGCAAAAUCUGCAGGUUGCAGAAAGUCUCAACUGAUCCUGGCAUACCCCGAGGUGCCGACUUUUAGAGCUGAAGAUGCAAGAAAGAUUGGGAUCCUGCGAUGCACCGAACCUGUCUCUCGAAGUGUGUGCGCCCUGCUUCCUGUGUUAAACAAUUUGCUACAAGGUCACACAAUUUUAACUAGAAGACUGAGAUGUGAACCUGGGUGGUCUGAUGUGAACACCACUGUCUGGUAAUCCCAACGCUCUGCUGCUUUGCGACAGAGAAUGUUUUAGGGAACACACAGACUAUGUACUUAACCAAAUCUGGAAUUUGCCGUAAGAUAUUAAUCAGAGAAGUAAUGAUACUUGCAUUUUAAAAUGAAGGCUUUGGCAGUAGGAGAAGGGUGAAUAAGAGGCUUAAGAGCCUGAAGGGAGAAAUGCCAAUGAUACAAUUAUCCAGCAAGAAAUAAUCAGAAGUUGAAGUAAGGCAAUGAUGGUAGGGAUGGAAUAUAAAAAAGCUGUACCCCUAUCUGACAUCUUUAUUGGGGGAACCCGCCCCCAAUAUUUCAACGUAGGUUCUUUCUAUUUUCCAUAAGUGUUGGCCAGCUGAGAAAUAAAGAGAGACAGUAUAAAGAGAGGAAUUUUACAGCUGAGCCACCGGG